GAUGAACGCUAGCUACAGGCUUAACACAUGCAAGUCGAGGGGCAGCAUGUUGGUUGCUUGCAACCAAUGAUGGCGACCGGCGCACGGGUGAGUAACGCGUAUCCAACCUUCCCCUUAGUAGGGCAUAGCCCGUAGAAAUGCGGAUUAAUACCCUAUGUUGUUCGUAGAGGACAUCUGAAAUGAACCAAAGGCUUACCGCUAAGGGAUGGGGAUGCGUCUGAUUAGGUAGUCGGCGGGGUAACGGCCCACCGAGCCCUCGAUCAGUAGGGGUUCUGAGAGGAAGGUCCCCCACAUUGGAACUGAGACACGGUCCAAACUCCUACGGGAGGCAGCAGUGAGGAAUAUUGGUCAAUGGACGGAAGUCUGAACCAGCCAAGUAGCGUGCAGGAUGACGGCCCUAUGGGUUGUAAACUGCUUUUAUAUAGGGAUAAAGUUGGGGACGUGUCCCCGUUUGUAGGUACUAUAUGAAUAAGGACCGGCUAAUUCCGUGCCAGCCGCCGCAGUAAGAC
rnacentral:rRNA from 1 species